GCGAACGCUGGCGGCAGGCUUAACACAUGCAAGUCGAGCGCCGUAGCAAUACGGAGCGGCAGACGGGUGAGUAACACGUGGGAACGUACCUUUUGGUUCGGAACAACACAGGGAAACUUGUGCUAAUACCGGAUAAGCCCUUACGGGGAAAGAUUUAUCGCCGAAAGAUCGGCCCGCGUCUGAUUAGCUAGUUGGUGAGGUAACGGCUCACCAAGGCGACGAUCAGUAGCUGGUCUGAGAGGAUGAUCAGCCACACUGGGACUGAGACACGGCCCAGACUCCUACGGGAGGCAGCAGUGGGGAAUAUUGGACAAUGGGCGCAAGCCUGAUCCAGCCAUGCCGCGUGAGUGAUGAAGGCCCUAGGGUUGUAAAGCUCUUUUGUGCGGGAAGAUAAUGACUGUACCGCAAGAAUAAGCCCCGGCUAACUUCGU
rnacentral:rRNA from 1 species